AUUGAACGCUGGCGGCAUGCCUUACACAUGCAAGUCGAACGGCAGCACGGGGCAACCUGGUGGCGAGUGGCGAACGGGUGAGUAAUGCAUCGGAACGUACCUUUCAGUGGGGGAUAACGUAGCGAAAGUUACGCUAAUACCGCAUAUUCCGUGAGCAGGAAAGCAGGGGAUCGCAAGACCUUGCGCUGAUUGAGCGGCCGAUGUCAGAUUAGCUAGUUGGUGAGGUAAAGGCUCACCAAGGCGACGAUCUGUAGCGGGUCUGAGAGGAUGAUCCGCCACACUGGAACUGAGACACGGUCCAGACUCCUACGGGAGGCAGCAGUGGGGAAUUUUGGACAAUGGGGGCAACCCUGAUCCAGCCAUGCCGCGUGAGUGAAGAAGGCCUUCGGGUUGUAAAGCUCUUUUGGUCGGGAAGAAAGCGCCUUGCCUAAUACGCGGGGUGGUUGACGGUACCGGCAGAAUAAGCACCGGCUAACUACGUGCCAGCCGCCGCAGUAAGAC
rnacentral:rRNA from 1 species